rnacentral:rRNA from 1 species
AUUGAACGCUGGCGGCAUGCCUAACACAUGCAAGUCGAGCGGCUGAGGGGAGCUUGCUCCGGGAUUCAGCGGCGGACGGGUGAGUAAUGCCUAGGAAUAUGCCUAGUAGUGGGGGAUAACAUCCGGAAAGAGGCGCUAAUACCGCAUACGUCCUGAGGGGGAAAGUGGGGGAUCUUAGGACCUCACGCUAUCAGAUGAGCCUAUGUCGGAUUAGCUAGUUGGUGGGGUAAAGGCCUACCAAGGCGACGAUCUGUAACUGGUCUGAGAGGAUGAUCAGUCACACUGGAACUGAGACACGGUCCAGACUCCUACGGGAGGCAGCAGUGGGGAAUAUUGGACAAUGGGCGAAAGCCUGAUCCAGCCAUGCCGCGUGUGUGAAGAAGGUCUUCGGAUUGUAAAGCACUUUAAGUUGGGAGGAAGCGGAGUAAGCUAAUACCUUGCUGUUUUGACGUUACCAAAAGAAUAAGCACCGGCUAACUUCGUG